GAAGGAUUCUUCGAGACGCCAAAGUCGGGGCAACCUGACGUUUCCUGAUGAGCCCGCGGCCUAUCAGCUAGUUGGCGGGGUAAAAGCCCACCAAGGCUAUGACGGGUAGCUGGUCUGAGAGGACGACCAGCCACACUGGAACUGAGACACGGUCCAGACACCUACGGGUGGCAGCAGUCGAGAAUUUUUCUCAAUGGGGGAAACCCUGAAGGAGCGACGCCGCGUGAAGGAUGAAGGUCUUCGGAUUGUAAACUUCUGUCAUUAGAGAACAAUUGCGCGGGCAGUAACUGGCCCGCGCUUGAUAGUAUCUGAAGAGGAAGGGACGGCUAACUCUGUGCCAGCAGCCCGCGGUAAUACAGAGGUCCCAAGCGUUGUUCGGAUUCAUUGGGCCGUAAAGGGUGCGUA
rnacentral:rRNA from 1 species